AUUGAACGCUGGCGGCAGGCCUAACACAUGCAAGUCGAGCGAGCGGCGGACGGGUGAGUAAUGUAUGGGGACUGCCCGAUAGAGGGGGAUAACUACUGGAAACGGUGGCUAAUACCGCAUACUAUCGGAUAACCCAUAUGGGAUUAGCUAGUAGGGGGGGUAAAGGCGAACCUAGACGACGAUCUCUAGCUGGUCUGAGAGGAUGAUGAGGCGCACUGAGACUGAGACACGGCCCAAACUCCUACGGAGGCAGCAGUGGGGAAUAUUGCACAAUAGGCGCAAGCCUGAUACAGACAUGCCGCGUAUAUGAAGAAGGGCUUAGGGUUGUAAAGUACUUUCAGCGGGGAGGCGUUACCCGGAGAAGAAGCACCGGCUAACUCCGUGCCAGCAGCCGCGGUAAUAC
rnacentral:rRNA from 1 species